rnacentral:rRNA from 1 species
UGGGGAAUUUUGGACAAUGGGCGCAAGCCUGAUCCAGCAAUGCCGCGUGCAGGAUGAAGGCCUUCGGGUUGUAAACUGCUUUUGUACGGAGCGAAAAGGUCUGCCCUAAUACGGUGGGCUCAUGACGGUACCGUAAGAAUAAGCACCGGCUAACUACGUGCCAGCAGCCGCGGUAAUACGUAGGGUGCGAGCGUUAAUCGGAAUUACUGGGCGUAAAGCGUGCGCAGGCGGUUAUAUAAGACAGACGUGAAAUCCCCGGGCUCAACCUGGGACCUGCAUUUGUGACUGUAUAGCUAGAGUACGGUAGAGGGGGAUGGAAUUCCGCGUGUAGCAGUGAAAUGCGUAGAUAUGCGGAGGAACACCGAUGGCGAAGGCAAUCCCCUGGACCUGUACUGACGCUCAUGCGCGAAAGCGUGGGGAGCAAACA